rnacentral:RNase_P_RNA from 1 species
UAAGGUGGCUGGAUGGUCGCGGCUGACAAUGCCGAAAGGCGUCAGGUGAGGAAAGUCCGGGCUUCAUAGGGCAGGAUGCCGGAUAACGUCCGGUGGAGGUGACUCCCAGGCCAGUGCAACAGAAAUAAACCGCCCAGUUUUCUGGGUAAGGGUGGAAAGGCAGUGUAAGAGACUACCGCAUUCCUGGUAACAGGGAUGGCACAUGUAAACCCCAUCCGAAGCAAGACCAAAAAGAGAGCUAUGCGGCGGCCCGUCGCGCUUUCAGGUAGGUCGCUGGAACCUGUUGGCAACAGCAGGUCUAGAUAGAUGAUCAUCCACGACAUAACCCGGCUUACAGGCUGCCUUACAGC